rnacentral:tRNA from 1 species
GGGUCCUUAGCUCAGGGGUAGAGCGUCGCUCCGACACGGCGAAGGCCCUGGUUCGAUUCCAGGAGGACCCA